UACCAAGAGCCCUUUUAACUCAGGCCACUCUCUUCUCUCAGAGAGACUUCCAGCGACGUAACCUCUCACCAUCGACUACGUAAAUCUCCGAUCAUCGAUAACAUAAAUUUCAGGCGAACUUCUCUCGCAGUUUGAUUAAUUCUUCUGGGAUGGUGGAUGGAGAUUCAAGAGUGUCCAAGACUAAGCAAUAUGUUCUCCAGUGAUGUCAAUGUUGUUUUCAACGUUUUUUUUUUCCUUGGAACAGGUUGGAUGCAACCUAUACAACCAAUUUACUUUAGCAAAAGAUAUGAAAACCAAUUAGCUUGUAAGGAGAGGAGAAAAUUAUAUAACAAAUUAAAUACCUUUUAUUUAUUUAUCAACAUAAGUUUAUAAGCAAGGGUCUGGGAGUUUAAAGUAGUUGGAGUUUGCUGUUGAGGAGGCUUGAGUUAAGCUAAAACUUGCCAACAAGACUUGGGUUAGAGAGUUGAAAGAAACAAAAACAAAUAGUUGUCUUUUUGUAAAGUGCCCACGUGGUAUUUGGAAAAUACUCUGUGUCCUCCCUUAAAAGUAUGAAUUCCGAAUUUCUACUAAUCAUAAUUUGACGUA